rnacentral:tRNA from 1 species
AGCUCAGUGGUUAAGAGCACUGGCUGCUCUUUCAGAGGACCUGGGUUCAAUUCCCAG